UGGGGAAUCUUGCACAAUGGACGAAAGUCUGAUGCAGCAACGCCGCGUGGGGGAUGAAGCUUCUCGGAGUGUAAACCCCUUUCGACCCGGAAGAAUGCCCGCAAGGGUUUGACGGUACGGGUAUAAGAAGCCCCGGCUAACUUCGUGCCAGCAGCCGCGGUAAUACGAAGGGGGCUAGCGUUGCUCGGAAUUACUGGGCGUAAAGGGUCUGUAGGCGGUGCGGCAAGUCGGAAGUGAAAUCCCAGGGCUUAACUCUGGGGCUGCUCCCGAAACUGCUGUGCUAGAGUGUGAGAUAGGCGAGUGGAAUUGCAGGUGUAGCGGUGAAAUGCGUAGAUAUCUGCAGGAACAUCCGAGGCGAAAGCGGCUCGCUGGAUCACAACUGACGCUGAGAGACGAAAGCUAGAGGAGCAAACAGGAUUAGAUACCCUGGUAGUCCUAGCCCUAAACGAUCAGGACUUGGCGUGAGCCCUGUACGGGGCUCGUGCCGAAGCUAACGCGAUAAGU
rnacentral:rRNA from 1 species